rnacentral:lncRNA from 1 species
AUGAUAUCGCUCACAUGGAGCUCCGCAUCCCAGAAAGCAGUUGGAAGGGGGGUCUGCAGCCCCACGGCCAAGGCUGCUGUGGGAUGGCUGGGGCCAUCCAAGGAGCUGUUGAUGUUUACCUUUGCAACUGGUUUACCUAGCUCCCACCUGCUGGCUCUUUGGAGCCCCCAAACUAUUAUUAUCGAGGAAAUUGUAUUAACUACUACGUGCCCAAACAAGCGGAAUGAACUCACUGAAAUCAGCAGGUGGUGUAUGUACAGCUGCUCAGAGCAACAUUCGGCUUGCCUGUUCCCAGCAAGGGCAGCUGACAUCAGAGGAGCAAUGCCCCGUGAAUGUGCCAUUCAGUGCAGAAGAGAGCCCAGAGUUUGGACGUUAGACAUGAAAGUGUUUUGUAACAUGCAGAUGUUUUCCAUGCAGAGGCUGAGAAAAGUGAUGAACAAGAUUUUUUAAAUCUUGUGCCGUUGUGGGUUUUUUUUUUCUCCCAUUUCCCUGCUUUUUCUUGCAUGGAAGAAUGAUACCAUCAAAAAUGAUGGGUUAUAUCCUUAGCUAAUAUAAUUUGGUGUGACUCCACUAACUUCACAGAGCAGUGCCUAUUUAAACAAGCUGCAAAUUUCUGCCAUCAAUUUAAAUCUACACAGAUUUACAUCAUGGGGAACACUGCUAUACAUUUUUUUUCCAUAGCUCAUAAGUUGCUUUAAAAUAAAUAAAUCAG